rnacentral:rRNA from 1 species
UACAGAGGUCUCAAGCGUUGUUCGGAUUCAUUGGGCGUAAAGGGUGCGUAGGCGGCGCGGUAAGUCGGGUGUGAAAUCUCGGAGCUUAACUCCGAAACUGCAUUCGAUACUGCCGUGCUUGAGGACUGGAGAGGAGACUGGAAUUUACGGUGUAGCGGUGAAAUGCGUAGAUAUCGUAAGGAAGACCAGUGGCGAAGGCGGGUCUCUGGGCAAUAACUGACGCUGAGGAGCGAAAGCGUGGGGAGCGAACAGG